GCACGUAGUUAGCCGGUGCUUAUUCUUACGGUACCGUCAUUAGCAAACUGUAUUAGAGCUCACCGUUUCGUUCCGUACAAAAGCAGUUUACAACCCGAAGGCCUUCAUCCUGCACGCGGCAUUGCUGGAUCAGGCUUGCGCUCAUUGUCCAAAAUUCCCCA
rnacentral:rRNA from 1 species